GUCUUCGUGGCUCAGUUGGUUAGAGCGUUGGUCUCAUAUUUAUCUAUAUAAUGUGAGGUAGUUGUUAACAAUUACUAGGCCAUCCAAAGGUCGUGAGUUCGAGUCUCACCGAGGACA